rnacentral:rRNA from 1 species
AGUGAACGCUGGCGGUAGGCCUAACACAUGCAAGUCGAACGGCAGCACAGUAAGAGCUUGCUCUUACGGGUGGCGAGUGGCGGACGGGUGAGGAAUACAUCGGAAUCUACUUUUUCGUGGGGGAUAACGUAGGGAAACUUACGCUAAUACCGCAUACGACCUACGGGUGAAAGCAGGGGAUCUUCGGACCUUGCGCGAUUGAAUGAGCCGAUGUCGGAUUAGCUAGUUGGCGGGGUAAAGGCCCACCAAGGCGACGAUCCGUAGCUGGUCUGAGAGGAUGAUCAGCCGCACUGGAACUGAGACACGGUCCAGACUCCUACGGGAGGCAGCAGUGGGGAAUAUUGGACAAUGGGCGCAAGCCUGAUCCAGCCAUACCGCGUGGGUGAAGAAGGCCUUCGGGUUGUAAAGCCCUUUUGUUGGGAAAGAAAAGCAGCAGGUUAAUACCCCGCUGUUCUGACGGUACCCAAAGAAUAAGCACCGGCUAACUUCGU